GGAUUGGUUUCGUGCGCUGGAUGAAUUGAUCCAUCCCCACUGGGCUGAUUUCCAGGCCCAGCUACAUUUUCCUCUCCGUGCAGGCCAUGUUGAGGAUUGGCCCACGCUUGUCCUGGUCUGAUGGUCCAUUGACCUUGGGUGGAAUACCAGUGAGCUAGAUGCCACUGAAAUGGGCCGGGAAUCUGGACUGGAGCAGGUGCAAAUGCGGUUGAAUGCUGAACAGAAGACCGUCCAUCAUCAGUUGGAUUAAUUUGAUCCGAUGAUGUUGGAGUUUGAAUUUAGGUGAGUUGAGGGCUUCUUCAUUUGUAUUAUGAUUUUCUGACAUUGUAUCAAAAAAUGAAUUCCUACC